rfam:Neocallimastix californiae strain G1 LY90scaffold_35, whole genome shotgun sequence.
GUCAAUUUGGCGGAGUGGUUAACGCAGUGGCCUGCUAAGACAUUUUUCUUUGGGAGCGCAGGGAAAUGGUUUGAGUCCUGCAGGUGACG